AGUUGAUGUGUCAACAGAACAGAGGUCAGAGCCGAGGACUGUGGCCUCUGGAAGCUGGAGAAGGCAAGGAGCAGAGCCUCCGGAAGGAACACAGCCCUGCUGACACCUGGAUUUUAGCCACGAAGAGCCGAGGACCCAGUACAUCAUGAGUGCUCUGAGGCCCAGGAGCCUACUGGACAUAUGGAGGAAAAGAAUGAACUUCUUCGAGACUUAUCUUCACCUGGGAAGUGAGUGCUUUCUAUCUACUUUGACACGCACAUAGAACCUCUCAACCACCACUGAGGCGAGGCCUACAACCAUCCUCACUUACCAGGCCUACAGUGUGCCAGCAUUCUGCUGUCAGGGGGACACAGGCAUGGCCAUCCCUGUCCCCAGCAGGGAAGGCAGAUAACAAUCAGAUCAGUACGCAAAUACAUCAUCACAAACUCGGGUCAGCGCUAAGAAGAAAACACACGGGAGCUACAAGAAUGUGCCCUGACAUCAAGGAAUGGAAAAAGCCCAUGCUCCAGAACACUAAAGGGGUCGGAAGAUUUCAGAAAUAAAAGGGACAAGAGAAAAGAUGAGUGUGCUCUGGAAACGUGGUUCUGCUUCACCCCCCCACAACCGUCCAAGGCGUGCACAUGCAGAAACUGAGGCACAGAGAGAAAUCACCUCUUGCCUAGGUGGCCAUGCGCCACACUCCUGCUCUUCACCAGAAGAACGCCCCGCCUCUGCUGGUGGCUCCUGUCCUCAGGAGACCCCUGUCUCUAUGCCAGGCCUUUAUGAGUCCUUGCUUGCCUAGUAUAAAUGAUACCUCACCAACUCUUUACAUCGGAAGGCGGUGUUUUAAUCAUCGGCUGAGAAAAUAAAUCAAGCCAAAAAGGCCCCGGGAAGGUCAGAAUGCCUUUAAAUGAAUUUGUAUUUUAUUCGCAGCAACAGUGAGGGACAUUUGAGAUUGGCCACACACAGAUUCAUGGAGCAAGCAUUUGCUGAGCACCUACCACGUGCCAGGCCCUGCCCUUGGUGCAGGGCAGCAGAGAUACAGCCGAGAACCAGACAGACCCCGCCCCUCCUGGGUCGUUAGGAGCUAACACUCUAGUGGGAGAAGGGGACAAUAAAUAAGAAAGAAGACAAUCAGGGUAAUUUCAGACUGUGUUAAAUGUGACUGUGAGGAGAGGGUGGUGUCCGAGAUGGCCUUUCUGAGGAGGCGAGGCCUGAAAGAUGACAAGGACCCAGCCUUGGGAAGAGACAGGGUGAAAGGUUCUAGGCAGAGGGAACGGUGUAUGCAAAGGCCCUGAGGCAGGAGCCUACACGCAAUGUUGAGGCACAGGAGGGAGGCCUGUGGCUGGAGCCAGGAGAGGGAGGAGGAGAGGAGGUGGUAGAUGUGUCAGGGUUUUGCAUGAAUUCUGAGGGGGGCGGGAGCCAAGGGAGGAUUUUGACCAGAAGGGGCACAGGAUCUGAUUUAGGUUCUAACAGGAUCCCUUUAGAUGCUGUUGUCAGCUGAAUAAUGCUCCCUAAAGAUGUCCACCUCUGACUCCCCCAAACCUAUGAAUGUUACUUUCUAUGGCAAAAGGAACUUUGCAGCUGUGACUUAGUUAAGGAGCUGGAAGUGGAAGAUGAUUCUGGAUUGUCUGAGUGUGCUCAGUAGUAUCUCAGGAGUCUCAUAAGACAGAGGCCGAGGGAGGGUGGUUUGGUUACAGAAGAGGAGAAGACCGAGAGAGGAGACAGACAGAAACAGAGGCUGGAGGGGCACGCUUAGCAGAUGAAAGAAGGGGCCGCAAGCCAAGGAAUGCAGGUGACCCCCGGAAGUGGAACAAGACAAGGGAGCAGCGCCCCCCUGGAUGCAGCCCUGCCAGCCCCCUGACUUAUCCCGAGACUGAUUUCAGACUUCUGAGCUCCGGAACUGCAAGCGAAUACAUCUGUGUUGUUUUCAGCCAAGAAGUUUGUCGUGGUUUGUUACAGGAGCCAGAGGAGACUAAGGCAGAUGCCGUGGGUGGGACAGACUGUGGGAGGGCGAGGCAGAAGCAGGCGGACCGGGAAGGGGGCUCCUGCCACAGUCCAGGCAGGAAAUGAGCAGGGACCCAAGGAAGUGACGGAUUCGCGAGAACCUCAGGAGCCAGAACACAUAGCCUUGCUGAUGGACCGGAUGCUUAGGGGGCGGGAAGGAAAGGACCAGCGUCCCUGGCUUCACUCAGUCACCCCUGGGCUGCUGCCUGGGACAGAGAGGUGGCCGCCGCGUGGUUCCUGCUCUAAGGAAGGACAAGGCCAGGGAAUAGUUACAGGGUGAUGGGCGGGAGCAGGCUCAGCUGCCCCGGGACCCCACAUCUCACACCAUUCAGGCCUCUGCCCCGAUGUCCCGUCUUCUGGGGUGCCUCCCUGACCACCCUGCCUCAGAGAGCCCCUCCUGCUCUCUCGCCCUCCCCCUGCUUUAGUUUGCUUUGUGUGUCUUCUUGUCACCCUGCGUGCUCCACGUUCGUCUGUUUCUUCGCCGUCGGGCUCCUGCACUCAAUCAUCAGCCCCUGACAAGGAAGACUGCAUCCAAUUCCUUCACCGAGUCUCUGGCACCUAGACAUGGUCUGACAUGAGCGGUGCUCAGCACAAAAGUGUGGGAUAAAUGAGCAAAUUCCCAUUUUCCAAAGAGGACACUGAAGAAAGCUGCCUCAAUGGCAGUGACUCUCAGGGUCACAUAGCUGCUAGGUGCCGGGUCAGGAUUUGAACCCAGAACUGAUUGUACCAAGUAGCUACCUCCUACUACCAGUGACACUGCCUGCAAUCCAGCAAUUUCCACUUUGUGGGGUCUGGUGCUCUAUCCUCCUUGAGGUAGCAAACAUUUUCAGUACAGAGCCUCAGGGAACCUACGGGGCAACUGACCCGGCCCGGGGGAUUACUAGAUAGGGAAACUGAGGCUCAGAGAGGCUGAGGUCUUCCCUGAGGUACACAGCUUGCCAGUGGCAGAACUGGGGUGCAGCUCCCACCAAUCCCUCAAUUGGGGUCUUCUCUCACAUUCCCGGUAUGCUCUGGGCCCCUGAGAAACCAGGCAGAGUAGGUGUAGCCCACACUGCCCAUUGUCCUGGCCGAGCCUGGAGGAAGCCUGGCAACACCUCAAGCUGGGAGCUUCUGAGAAAUGAGGGUUGGGGGUUAGGAUCUGGGGCCCUGCAAACUCCAGCUCUGCCCCUCCUCUGCUGUGUGACCUCAGGAAAGUUGCUUCCCCUCUCUGGCCUAGGCUUCCUCCUGUAACUCCAGCUAAAAUUCUAGACAAAG